rnacentral:rRNA from 1 species
GACGAACGCUGGCGGCGUGCUUAACACAUGCAAGUCGAACGGAAAGGCCCUGCUUUUGUGGGGUGCUCGAGUGGCGAACGGGUGAGUAACACGUGAGUAACCUGCCCUUGACUUUGGGAUAACUUCAGGAAACUGGGGCUAAUACCGGAUAGGAGCUCCUGCUGCAUGGUGGGGGUUGGAAAGUUUCGGCGGUUGGGGAUGGACUCUCGGCUUAUCAGCUUGUUGGUGGGGUAGUGGCUUACCAAGGCUUUGACGGGAAGCCGGCCUGAGAGGGUGACCGGCCACAUUGGGACUGAGAUACGGCCCAGACUCCUACGGGAGGCAGCAGUGGGGAAUAUUGCACAAUGGGCGGAAGCCUGAUGCAGCAACGCCGCGUGCGGGAUGACGGCCUUCGGGUUGUAAACCGCUUUCGCCUGUGACGAAGCGUGAGUGACGGUAAUGGGUAAAGAAGCACCGGCUAACUACGUG